rnacentral:rRNA from 4 species
UAGAGGAAGUAAAAGUCGUAACAAGGUUUCCGUAGGUGAACCUGCGGA